GACCCGUCUUGAACCACGGAGUCUAGCAUGUGUGCGAGUCAUUGAGAUUUACAUCACUAAACUGAAAGGCACAACGAAAGUGAAGGCGCGCGCUCGCCGCGCGCUCAGGGAGGAUGGAGCGUCGGUCUAGGUCGUCGCUCUCGCACUCCCGAGGCGUCUCGUUUCCAAUCCGUGAAUGUGGGCGCGCUCUGAGCGCAGAUGCUGGGACCCGAAAGAUGGUGAACUAUGCCUGGUCAGGUCGAAGUCAGGGGAAACCCUGAUGGAGGACCGUAGCGAUUCUGACGUGCAAAUCGAUCGUCGGAACUGGGUAUAGGGGCGAAAGACUAAUCGAACCAUCUAGUAGCUGGUUCCUUCCGA
rnacentral:rRNA from 1 species